AGUCGACCCAUAACUGUACUUCCUUGCCGCAAAACUGUCAUGUAAGUCAUAAGUUGUAAUAUCUCAUUAGCGAUUAAAGCGCCCAAAAUCAACAAUGGUGAAAUUUGUCAAAUUGCAAGUUUCUGUGACUUUAAUUGUAUUUCUACAGUUUCAACUGUGCACAGCUCCAGGCGGUGCUGGUUUAGAGCAGUGUCAUCAUCACUGUAGUGAACAUGGACAUUGUGUGAGAGUACAUGCUUCUACAUACAAGUGUCAGUGUAGCGUUGGCUGGCAGGGAACUGACUGUUCGCAAGGAGAUUUACGU